AGUAACGCGUGAGAAUCUAACUUCAGGACGGGGACAACAGUUGGAAACGACUGCUAAUACCCGAUGUGCCGAAAGGUGAAACCUAAUUGGCCUGAAGAAGAGCUUGCGUCUGAUUAGCUAGUUGGUGGGGUAAAGGCCUACCAAGGCGACGAUCAGUAGCUGGUCUGAGAGGAUGAGCAGCCACACUGGGACUGAGACACGGCCCAGACUCCUACGGGAGGCAGCAGUGGGGAAUUUUCCGCAAUGGGCGAAAGCCUGACGGAGCAACGCCGCGUGAGGGAGGAAGGUCUUUGGAUUGUAAACCUCUUUUCUCAAGGAAGAAGUUCUGACGGUACUUGAGGAAUCAGCCUCGGCUAACUCCGUGCCAGCAGCCGCGGU
rnacentral:rRNA from 1 species